AACGAACGCUGGCGGCAUGCCUAACACAUGCAAGUCGAACGAGACCUUCGGGUCUAGUGGCGCACGGGUGCGUAACGCGUGGGAACCUGCCCUUAGGUUCGGAAUAACUCCCCGAAAGGGGUGCUAAUACCGGAUAAUGUCUUCGGACCAAAGAUUUAUCGCCUUUGGAUGGGCCCGCGUUGGAUUAGCUAGUUGGUAGGGUAAAAGCCUACCAAGGCGACGAUCCAUAGCUGGUCUGAGAGGAUGAUCAGCCACACUGGGACUGAGACACGGCCCAGACUCCUACGGGAGGCAGCAGUGGGGAAUAUUGGACAAUGGGCGAAAGCCUGAUCCAGCAAUGCCGCGUGAGUGAUGAGGGCCUUAGGGUUGUAAAGCUCUUUUACCCGGGAUGAUAAUGACAGUACCGGGAGAAUAAGCUCCGGCUAACUCCG
rnacentral:rRNA from 1 species